GUGGGGAAUCUUGCGCAAUGGGCGAAAGCCUGACGCAGCCAUGCCGCGUGAAUGAUGAAGGUCUUAGGAUUGUAAAAUUCUUUCACCGGGGACGAUAAUGACGGUACCCGGAGAAGAAGCUCCGGCUAACUUCGUGCCAGCAGCUGCGGUAAUACGAAGGGGGCUAGCGUUGCUCGGAAUUACUGGGCGUAAAGGGCGCGUAGGCGGACAGCUUAGUCAGAGGUGAAAGCCCAGGGCUCAACCUUGGAAUUGCCUUUGAUACUGGCUGUCUUGAGUUUGGGAGAGGUGAGUGGAACUCCGAGUGUAGAGGUGAAAUUCGUAGAUAUUCGGAAGAACACCAGUGGCGAAGGCGACUCACUGGCCCAAUACUGACGCUGAGGCGCGAAAGCGUGGGGAGCAAACAGGAUUAGAAACCCCAGUAGUCC
rnacentral:rRNA from 1 species